rnacentral:rRNA from 1 species
AUUGAACGCUGGCGGAAUGCUUUACACAUGCAAGUCGAACGGUAGAGGGGGCAACCCCUCGAGAGUGGCGAACGGGUGAGUAAUAUAUCGGAACGUGCCCAGUCGUGGGGGAUAACGUGGCGAAAGUUACGCUAAUACCGCAUACGAUCUGAGGAUGAAAGCGGGGGAUCGCAAGACCUCGCGCGAUUGGAGCGGCCGAUAUCAGAUUAGGUAGUUGGUGGGGUAAAGGCUCACCAAGCCAACGAUCUGUAGCUGGUCUGAGAGGACGACCAGCCACACUGGAACUGAGACACGGUCCAGACUCCUACGGGAGGCAGCAGUGGGGAAUUUUGGACAAUGGACGCAAGUCUGAUCCAGCCAUUCCGCGUGCAGGAUGAAGGCCCUCGGGUUGUAAACUGCUUUUGUACGGAACGAAAAGGUCUCUCUUAAUACGGGGGACUCAUGACGGUACCGUAAGAAUAAGCACCGGCUAACUACGUGCCAGCCGCCGCCGUAAAAC